UACGUAGGUGACAAGCGUUGUCCGGAUUUACUGGGCGUAAAGAGCGCGCAGGCGGUCGUUCAAGUCGAGUGUGAAAGCCCCCGGCUCAACUGGGGAGGGUCACUCGAUACUGAUCGACUCGAAGGCAGGAGAGGGUAGUGGAAUUCCCGGUGUAGUGGUGAAAUGCGUAGAUAUCGGGAGGAACACCAGUGGCGAAGGCGGCUCACUGGCCCGAUACUGACGCUGAGGCACGAAAGCGUGGGGAGCAAAGCAGG
rnacentral:rRNA from 1 species